UCCGUUGUUGCCACUCGAAGCAAUUCUUUCACAUGGGUGUCAGUCAUAACAGAGCGGUGUUUUGAUUUGACAUAUUUCAUGGUAGAAAACACAGACUCACAGACGUACGUUGAGCCAAACAUUGACAUGCCCGUGCAAUGUUCCAAGCCAGUUUAUACGAUGCAAGUGUUACUGUCUCUGACUGCUUCGUAAAUUUUUUGAAAACCUGUACCUGCUUUUCUGCCUGACUUUUCAAAGUGGUCAGCUUGUGCUUGCGAAGUUCAGUCCCUUUUGGAAAUUCCUGGUCAAUGUUAGCGUGGAGUGAGCUGAAGUGACGCUGAAGAUUUGAAGCCUUGAAAUGCACCAAUGACGACUGACAUAUAAGGCAGAAUGGCUUGCCAUUACGUUCGAC